rnacentral:lncRNA from 1 species
UUUAAAUUGGGUAAAGGUCUUCGACAAGGUGAUCCCCUCUGUCCUUCUCUUUUUGUAAUUUCUUCUGAACUACUCUCUACAAUGCUUAAUAAUUUACCUAGCAGGAGAGGUUAUAUAAGUUAUUAUAUGAAUUGAGAUGCCCCUCAUGUGAACUAUCUCUCUUUUGCGGAUGAUACUAUUCUGUUUUGUAAAGGCAGUAAACGGCUGUUAGAGAUGUUCCUAAGAACUCUCCACACUUAUGAGAAAAUUCGGGUCAGCUCAUUAACAAAAAUAAAAGUUGCUUCACUGUGGCCAAGAAUGCUACCCAAAGAUUCAUUACUAAGUUGAGACUCAUCACAGGUAUGAAUCACCAAGAAUUUCCUAUUAAAUACCUGAGAUGCCCUUUGAUCAGUGGAAAAAAAAAGAUCUGUCAUUUUAAUGAUUUAGUCUGCAACAUCAUUAACAAGAUUAAGGGUUGGUACAAUAAAUUUCUUAGUACCGUAGGAAGAGAGGUGCUUGUUAAACAUGUCCUUUUAGCUCUUCCAACUCAUCUUCUUGCAGCACUCCAGCCCCCUAAAGGUACGUUUGAUAACAUUGAAAAAUACUUGGCUAAAUUUUUCUGGUCCAGAAAGAAAAAGGGUGGUAAACACCACUGGGUAUCCUGGCAAGCUCUGUGUCUUCCUAUUGAGGAAAGAGGCAUAAAUUUCAGGAGAAUUGGUGAACUUGUAACUCGCUUUUGUCGAACUUUGUUACUCAUAAAUACUAACAUGGAAGACACCCAAAUAUGGUCAGCUGGAAGAAAGGUCAGUCUACCUGGUGGAAACAUAUGUGUGAUAUCAGAGAUAAAGCUGAAGAUAUGAUUAAAUGGAUUGUGGGCAAAGGUGAUCUGAGCUUCUGGUAUGAUAAUUGAUCUACUGUAGGGUCUCUCUACAAAUUUCUGCGUACAGAAAGUUAUGCUCCCAAUAUCCAAAUUAAGGAGGUUCUCUAAAAUGGUAUCUGGGAUUGGAAUUUGAUCCAAUACCAGAUACCGAACUAUUCAAAGCUAAAAUAUACAAGAUGGGGGUAACACUAAAUAGUGAGGAUCAAGAUAUGCCUAUAUGGUGCCCUACUAUCACAGGAAAGUUCACAGUUGCGUCUGCCUGGAGUGUCAUUAGGCAAAAGGGUGAUGACUCCCAACAGAUGCUAAAGUGUCUAGAUUAGGGAUUACUAUUUCUCCUAAAUGUUAUUGUUGUAAUAAUCCUAACAAUGUCACUGCCCUAGAAAAUGCAGAACAUAUUUUCUAUGCAGGUGACCAUGCAAAGAGUAUAUGGAGGUACUUUGCAGGAUCUCUUGGGAUUGAAUAUACCAACAUCAACCUAAAAAGCCUUUUGCAAAAAUGGUGGACUAAAAGAGUGAUCAAUCCAGUGGCCGCGUACAUUAGCAGAGUGCUUUCACCUUUUAUCUGUUGGGAACUAUGGAG